rnacentral:lncRNA from 1 species
UUUUCUAUUUUCUUCAACAAAGAAUAAUUUGUCAGUUUGAAACGGUGGUUGGUUUUGUGGCCUUGAUUAUUUUGGUCACUUGAUCUCGGCCCGUCCUUUUGACGAAGAUUUGACACGUUGCUUUACACCACUCAAACGAACAUCUCAUCUACACUCUUAUUUGCACAGUCUCUACACUGUUUCUUCCUCAAAAUUUCAAUUGCUGCUCACCUCCUCUUCCAAUUUUCUUUGUCUCUUUUAGUCUUCUCUCUUCCUGGACAGUUUAUUUGCCUUGAUUGUACAGUUAUAAGGUGAGUUUUAGUUUUUUUUUUGAUUUUCGGAAUAGCUGCUGAAUAUAAAUUGUUUAAAUUGAUUAAAUUAUUCGUCCAUCAUUCUCUGUAAUUCGUCCAGGAAAAAAAUGGGAUAUUUGCAGUUGUUUCCCAUUUCAGUUGGGGUUGAAUUCAAUCCCCACAAUUACUCACUUAACCCCUUUGAGUAUAUUUGCUGAUGUUGAUUUAGGUACUAUGGGGUAGUUAUGGUUAAGGAUGUUUUAAUUUUUCUUAAAAACAGACUUGUUCUUGAAGCAUUUGGUGGGUUCAAUGUUUUUUCCUACAGUCUUGGUGUAUUUGUUUAUUCUUUUAAAGGUGUUGGAAUGAUUUUACCUUUUGGAAGAAGAGAUGAAAGACAAGGACAAAUUUGGGAAAAUUUUGGAUUUGUCGAUAGCUUUCAUUUCUUUGAUGUAUGGUUCUUUUGGGGUAUUGGGAUACUUUGCUUUUGGAAAAGAGACCAAAGAUAAGAUCACUACUAAUCUUGGGAGAGGAUUGGUUAGUACUUUAGUGCGGAUUGGACUUUGCAUAUACGUUUUCUUUACUUUCCCACUUAUAAUGAAUCCUGUUUAUGAAGUGAUGGAAAGGAGAUUUCGUGAAGGCAGAUAGAGUUUGACACGGGAACAGUCAAAUCAAAAUUCUUAUUUCAACGAGGUUAGACAUUAGAAUCUCAUUCAAGAAGCUUUAUUAGUUGGAGUUCAUAAUGAUUUACUACAGGGAUAAGUUUGUUUAAACUUAUUUGUUUCUAGCAAAUAGUGCAAAAUUACCAAAGUACAGUACGUUCCUCAAGGGGACCAAUUAGCUUAGGUUUUUCAUGUUUCAAUUAGGGACUAAUAACGCGAGUGGGUAUGGGGUGGCUAGAUCAAAGGCAAUUACGAGAGUUAUGAAUGUAGUUGCGUUAAAUUGUCAAUUGAAGCUGCUUUGCCUCAUUAGGAUUAGAUCUGCCAAAAUUCCAAAAUUGAAUUAGUUCCUCGACUCACUCCCCUACCCCCUUCAAACCACUUAUCAUAUUCAGUAAUAAUCUCUUAAAUUUCAUUACUCUUAUAGGUAUUUAAUUAAAAAUUAGAAAAUAAUUUAAUCUUUUCUACUAAUAUAGUAUGAUUGGUUAAGGAAAGAGCACAUAUCUGUAUUUAGUAUAUUGUUUCAUAAAAUAAUAUUAAUUGUUUACCCGGAAAAUCGGAUAUAGUUGAAUUUAUAAGUAGUUCUAAGGAUAUGUGAUAUAGCUUGACAUAAAUCGUACAUAAAAGUGAAAAUAUUUUGAUUCUUGGCUAUAGAAAUGGGAUAUAAAUUGUUGAACUAGAAGAGUGAGUAUGCUGAGUAAAACAGACUUAAGAGAUUUAUUCUUCAACAAAUAGAAGUAGUCUUUUCUUACAAUGUGUCAACCUGCUUGUGCUUACAAGGAUUCGCCCAUUUAUAGUAGAGGGAUCUUACUUUAUUUAUAAUAAAAUAUAUAUAUAUAUAUAUAUAGUGGAGAACCCAUGAUGAAUUGUCAUUUCCUCGAUUCCUGCCAAAAUUCUCUCCCCUAGUGCGGUUGCAACGUCUCUUAUCUGCGAGCUCGAUAUUGGCUCGAGCUCGGUAUUGGGUCGAGUCCUCGGCCUUGAGUUUGAGUUCGACAUUCGGGGCGAGUGUCAAUCAGUCUGUGCAUCUCCGACAACUUUCUCUUUGCCUUGCGGUUCGAUUUGGUCAUGGGCUUGAUAAUGAUACCGAGCCGAUUCCUCGAUCGGUCUUGGAGCUCGAGGCUUGUUUGUACUAUUCUCGGAACUCGUCUCUAGUUCUCACUUUGAUCGUUUACCAUUCGAACUCGAUCAAACGUACAGAUGCCGAAAUCUAUUUCGACCGUAUACAGAUAGUCCCCUCAUUUCUCAGAAAGAAUGUGGUGAGAAAUGAUAUAAUUUUCGACGGCCCGAUCGGAUUGUAAGCUGACGUUUUCACUGGGCUCGAUCGUGACGUAUGUGAUAGUUGUCCCGUUGAUUUAGUCUUUCAAGGUAUUUAAUGCACGUCAUAUGGUGGUCGGCCACCGCUGAUACUGAACCGCCAUGGUAUAAACCUAUAAAUAGCUCUUUCAUUUAUCAUUUACCACUUUUACAUCUCCAACCUCCCAAAUUUUCUUACUCUUUCUGCCUCUACUUUGCCGCUUGUAGAGCCACCUUCAUAAACCUUUCAUCUUCCUUUCCUUUUCUUUCUCUUACAUCAAUGGCAAAAACUUCAAAAAUAGUACCUCAAAAGGAGAAAGCUUCCUCUUCACGACCGUCCGGCGACAAGGCGCCGGUGGAGCCGCCUCCCCAUGAGUAUGUUCCUGGCUCGUCUACUCUGAAGAUCGAUUUUAAGGUUGAGAAUCCUUUGUCGGUUUUGGGUCAAUAUGAGCAUGUGUCAAUGUACAUGUGCUCGAUAACAGAGGGCCAUCUCGAGGCUGUGAGGAAAGACUGCAACUGGGGUCCCGAGAUUGUGUUGCAAAUUCCCUCUCCCGAAGAGAGCAUCAUCACUCAUGUGGAGGGUUUUUUAAGUAUAUAUACUUACCCCUUCACGUUGGGUCCCGCCGACCCAGUGAUAAUUGAUUUUUGCAAAAGGUAUCAGGUUACUCUCGGUCAAAUUCAUCCUUCUCUAUGGCGCAUAGUGACCUUACUUCGCUUCUUCUCCAAUAAGNNNNNNNNNNNNNNNNNNNNNNNNNNNNNNNNNNNNNNNNNNNNNNNNNNNNNNNNNNNNNNNNNNNNNNNNNNNNNNNNNNNNNNNNNNNNNNNNNNNNNNNNNNNNNNNNNNNNNNNNNNNNNNNNNNNNNNNNNNNNNNNNNNNNNNNNNNNNNNNNNNNNNNNNNNNNNNNNNNNNNNNNNNNNNNNNNNNNNNNNNNNNNNNNNNNNNNNNNNNNNNNNNNNNNNNNNNNNNNNNNNNNNNNNNNNNNNNNNNNNNNNNNNNNNNNNNNNNNNNNNNNNNNNNNNNNNNNNNNNNNNNNNNNNNNNNNNNNNNNNNNNNNNNNNNNNNNNNNNNNNNNNNNNNNNNNNNNNNNNNNNNNNNNNNNNNNNNNNNNNNNNNNNNNNNNNNNNNNNNNNNNNNNNNNNNNNNNNNNNNNNNNNNNNNNNNNNNNNNNNNNNNNNNNNNNNNNNNNNNNNNNNNNNNNNNNNNAAGUAAGAUAGCCUUUAGGCUUUAAUAAUUGAGUGAGUGACUGUUUCGAACUCGAACUCAAAGUAUAUUAGCCCAUAGACUUUUUAUGAUCGAGUGAGUGAUUGCUCGAACUCGAAGUAAGAUAUCCCUUAGGCUUUAAUAAUUGAGUGAGUGAUUGUUUCGAACUCGAACUCAGGAUAUCUUAGCCCGUAGGCUUUUUAUGACCGUUUGUAUCAAAAAUCUCUUUGAUGGUGGUUGGCCUUUAAGCCUGCUUGAAUCAUGAAGUAGGAAAAUCUUUUCAUAAUGUGAGAUAUAUGAAAAAGAAGUUCUCCUUUAUAAGUCAUUACAUAUGUGUUUGUAUCUUGUGCCAGAGUUCGAGAAAAACUACGUGGGCAUGGUUCGUUUUGACCAUUUGGCCCUUACACUUUUCUCUAUCGAGACCCUGUUUGUCAUGAAUUUGAUAUGGAGUGACUUUCUUGUGCCGAACUUGAUUUAUUCGCUUGGUAGCCGACCAUUUAGUCAUUACACUUUUCUCUAUCGAGACCAUGUCUGUCAUGAAUUUGAUAUGGAGCGACUUUCUUGUGCCGAACUUGAUUUAUUCGCUUGGUAGCCCUAUAGUAUUCGAGGUUGAUUAUGAAGGAGCCUCGGAUACUAUUGAUUUGUCCCCGAGUAGCACAAAUUUGUUGUCUCGUUAAAAACCUUCCCGGAAAAACCCAUUUGGGAUAAAAGCCGCACUUAAGGGAAAAAGAGUACAACACGUGCUUUGAAACCAUAUGUCUUGAUAUUUUUCGUCGAAUUCCUGCAAUGAGUUAGUGUCGAAUAUACAUAUAUAGAUGAUAGAGGAUAAAAUCAUACCUUAACAGUAAUAUCGUUUGAGAAACGAUAUGUUCCAAUUGUUUGGUAAUGGUUUUCCAUCAAUUGCUCCAAGUUUAUAAGACCCUUUCCCGACUAUAUCGAGGACCUGAUAGGGUCCUUCCCAAUUUGGGUCGAGUUUCCCUUCAUUAGGAUCUCGAGUGUUGAUGGUGACCUUCCUUAGGACCAAGUCUCCGGCCUUGAAAUGGCGGAGGUUGGUUCUUCUGUUGUAGUACCUUUCGAUUCGUUGUUUUUUUUGCAGCCAUUCGAACCAGUGCCGCCUCUCNNNNNNNNNNNNNNNNNNNNNNNNNNNNNNNNNNNNNNNNNNNNNNNNNNNNNNNNNNNNNNNNNNNNNNNNNNNNNNNNNNNNNNNNNNNNNNNNNNCACUUGGUUCCCCGACUUUAAGCGGUAUUAGAGCUUCGGAUCCAUACACUAGGGAAAAUGGGGUUGCUACUGUACUGGAUUUAGAUGUUGUCCGAUAUGCCCAAAGGACUUCGGGCAAAACUUCUCUCCACUUUCCUUUAGCUUCGUUCAAUCUUUUCUUUAUGUUUUGGAUGAUAACCUUGUUCGUUGAUUCGGCCUGUCUGUUCCCGCUAGGAUGAUAUGGUGUAGACAGUAUUCUUUUUAUUUUAUGGUCUUCGAGGAAUUUCGUCACUUUACCGCUGAUAAACUGUCUACCAUUGUCACAUGUUAUUUCAGCUGGUAUCCCAAAUCGACACACGAUGUGGUCCCAGAUCAAAUCUAUAACCUCUUUUUCUCUCACCUUUUCGAACGCCUAUGCUUCAACCCAUUUAGAGAAAUAGUCAGUCAUAAACAAAAUGAAUUUAGCUUUACCUGGGGCCGAUGGUAGAGGGCCGACGAUAUCCAUUCCCCAUUUCAUGAAUGUCCAUGGAGAAAUGCCCGAAUGAAGCUGCUCUCCGGGUUGAUGGAUCAUCGGUGCAAACCUUUGACAUUUAUCACAUUUUCGAACGAACUCCUUAGUGUCCUUCUCCAUGCUAUCCCAGUAGUACCCUGCUCUGAUGAUUUUGCGAAUUAGUGGUUCGGCGCCGGAGUGGUUUCCACAAGUGCCUUCAUGGACCUCUCGUAGAAUAUAAUCGGUGUCUCCUGGUCCCAAACAUACCGCCAGUGGUCCGUCGAACUUCCUUCUGUAUAAUGAUCCAUCUUCAACCCGCGUGAAUCGAGCAGCCUUGGUUCGUAAAACCCUCGAUUCUUUAGGGUUCGAUGGGAGUUUUCCAUUCUUUAAAUAUUCAAUAUACUUAUUCCUCCAAUCCCAGGUUAAGCUCGUGGAAUUUAUUUCGGCAUGUCCAUCCUCGAUUACAGAUCUCGAGAGUUAACGACAGUCCCCGAGUUGAUCUUAUCCUCCUCGACCGACGACCCCAAAUUUGCGAGUGCGUCGGGCUCACAGUUUUGUUCUCGAGGCACAUGCUGUAGGGUCCAUUCUUUGAAAUGGUGUAGAGUUACCUGUAAUUUGUCCAAAUACCUUUGCAUCCUAUCUUCCCGAACCUCGAAAGUUUUGUUUACUUGAUUCACCACUAGUAAAGAGUCACAUUUGGCUUCAAUGACUUAUGCUCCCAGGCUUUUAGCUAGCUCGAGACCUGCUAUCAUGGCCUCGUACUCGGCCUCAUUGUUAUUUAAUCUAGUGGUUUUGAUGGAUUGUCUAAUAAUGCCACCUGUGGAAGGUUUCAGUACGAUGCCAAGUCCGGACCCCUUCACAUUUGAAGCACCAUCUGUGUAGAGGGUCCAAACCCCCGACGACGUACUCGAUUUUAACAAGAGUUCCUUUUCAACUUUGGGUACGAGGUUUGGCGUGAAAUCGGCCACGAAGUCCGCUAAAAUUUGGGACUUGAUGGUCGUACGGGGUUGAUAUUCGAUAUCGUACCUGCUGAGUUCGACGGCCCAUUUGGCCAAUCGACCCGAUAGUUUGGGCUUGUGUAAAAGAUUGCGAAGUGGGUAAGUGGUCAAAACGCAUAUGUGGUGACAUUGAAAGUAUGGUCUUAACUUUCUAGAGGCGCUUAUUAGUGCAAGUGCUAAUUUCUCUAGGUGAGGGUAUCUAGCCUCUGCUUCCCCUAAGGUUCGACUUACAUAAUAAACGGGAAACUGUGUACCUUGCUCUUCUCGAAUUAGGACGCCACUUAACGCGAUUUCCGAUACCGCCAAGUAUAAGUACAACUUCUCAUCUAUCCUCGGAGUGUGAAGUAGUGGUGGGCUCGAUAGGUACCGCUUCAAUUGCUCUAGUGCAUGUUGGCAUUCCGGGGUCCAGGCGAAAUCGUUCUUCCUUUUGAAUAGAGAGAAGAAUUUGUGGCUUCGAUCUGAUGACCUCGAAAUGAAUCGGCCUAAGGCAGCUAUUCGCCUUGUCAGCCUUUGCACUGCUUUCACGCUAUCCACGACGGUGAUGUCUUCGAUGGCCUUAAUUUUGUCUGGGUUGAUCUCGAUUCCCCGAUUCGAUACCAUGAAACCAAGGAACUUGCUCGAUCCAACCCUGAAAGCACAUUUCUCGGGGUUGAGCUUCAUGUUGUAUUUCCUUAAGAUCUUGAACGUUUCCUGCAAAUGAGUCAAAUGGUCCUCUGCGCGCAGGGACUUAACUAGCAUGUCAUUAAUGUAAACUUCCAUCGACUUACUUAUUUGUUGUUCGAACAUUUUAUUCACUAGGCGUUGGUAAGUAGCUCCUGCAUUUUUAGCCCGAAUGGCAUUACAUUAUAGCAAUAGGUUUCGUACUUGGUGAUAAAUGAAGUCUUUUCCUGGUCCUCUGGGUUCAUUCGAAUUUGAUUGUACCCGGAGUAGGCGUCGAGAAAAGUAAGGAUCUCAUGACCGGUUGUGGCAUCGAUCAUGCGAUCGAUGCUAGGCAGUGGAAAAGAAUCUUUGGGGCAUGCUUUGUUUAGAUCUUUAUAAUCUACGCACAUUCUAAGUUUGUUCCCCCUUUUAGGGACUACAACUACGUUGGCUAACCACUCGGGAUAUUUUACUUCCCGAAUUGACCCUAUUUUGAGAAGUUUAGUUACCUCAUCCUUUACAAAUGCAUGUUUUACCGCGAACUGAGGUCUUCUUUUUUGCUUCACCGGUUUGAACCUGGGGUCCAAGCUCAAUUGGUGCAUUGUUAUCGACGGUGGGAUCCCUGCCAUGUCUAAAUGGAACCAAGCAAAAUAGUCUAUGUUAUCAAUAAGAAAUUGAAUAUGUUUUUCCCUGAGUUCGGGGGUCAAUCCUGUUCCCAGGUAUACCUUUCUAUCAGGCAGAUAUUCGAUUAAUAUAACCUGCUCCAGCUCUUCGAUCGUAGAUUUGGCGGCUUCAGAGUCGUCGGGGAUGAUGAAAACUCGAGGUGUCAGAAACUCUUCCUCGUCACCCUCUAUUUCCUGUUCCACCGGUUCGGUCGAGACUGGUGGCUGUGAUUGCUAUUUGGUUUCUCGUCUAUCUUUAGUGCUCGAUCUUUCCGAGACCAAUAGCGUUGGUAUCGGUGUUACCUCAUCGACCGCAAACAUUUUCUUUGCAUCAUGUUGCUCCCCGUAUACUGUUUUCACGCCGUCCAACGUAGGAAAUUUCAUUACUUGUGGAGGGUCGAAGGCACUGCCUUCAUAUUGUGGAUCCAAGGCCUUCCGAGUAGGGCAUUGUACCUCAUAUCCCCUUCGAUCACGUGGAAUUUAGUAUUUCGGAUGGUUCCAUCUACAUUCACUGGUAGAGUAAUCUCCCAUUUAGUCGUUUCACUGGCCAUAUGGAAAUCGUUCAAGACCCGAGAUGCGGGCACGACUUGAUUCUGCAAAGCGAGCUGCUCCACUACCCAAGAUCGGAUGAUANNNNNNNNNNNNNNNNNNNNNNNNNNNNNNNNNNNNNNNNNNNNNNNNNNNNNNNNNNNNNNNNNNNNNNNNNNNNNNNNNNNNNNNNNNNNNNNNNNNNNNNNNNNNNNNNNNNNNNNNNNNNNNNNNNNNNNNNNNNNNNNNNNNNNNNNNNNNNNNNNNNNNNNNNNNNNNNNNNNNNNNNNNNNNNNNNNNNNNNNNNNNNNNNNNNNNNNNNNNNNNNNNNNNNNNNNNNNNNNNNNNNNNNNNNNNNNNNNNNNNNNNNNNNNNNNNNNNNNNNNNNNNNNNNNNNNNNNNNNNNNNNNNNNNNNNNNNNNNNNNNNNNNNNNNNNNNNNNNNNNNNNNNNNNNNNNNNNNNNNNNNNNNNNNNNNNNNNNNNNNNNNNNNNNNNNNNNNNNNNNNNNNNNNNNNNNNNNNNNNNNNNNNNNNNNNNNNNNNNNNNNNNNNNNNNNNNNNNNNNNNNNNNNNNNNNNNNNNNNNNNNNNNNNNNNNNNNNNNNNNNNNNNNNNNNNNNNNNNNNNNNNNNNNNNNNNNNNNNNNNNNNNNNNNNNNNNNNNNNNNNNNNNNNNNNNNNNNNNNNNNNNNNNNNNNNNNNNNNNNNNNNNNNNNNNNNNNNNNNNNNNNNNNNNNNNNNNNNNNNNNNNNNNNNNNNNNNNNNNNNNNNNNNNNNNNNNNNNNNNNNNNNNNNNNNNNNNNNNNNNNNNNNNNNNNNNNNNNNNNNNNNNNNNNNNNNNNNNNNNNNNNNNNNNNNNNNNNNNNNNNNNNNNNNNNNNNNNNNNNNNNNNNNNNNNNNNNNNNNNNNNNNNNNNNNNNNNNNNNNNUUGGCUUCGACUCGUUUUGUGAGUUCCUCAAGCAGUUUAGUAAUUUUGGGAGUAGUCCCCGAUUCUUGCUCGUUUGACUUCACUAUGACUGGCUCCGUUCUGUGGGUGAUUUCCCGAAGUGGAUCGGGCUCCGGCCUGCUUUGUAUCUGAGUUUGGCUCUGCAACUGAGCUAUCGCUAUUUGCUGGGCUUGUAACAUCUCGAAGAUCAUAUGUAAGUUGACUUCGAUCUCCUCCACGUUAUGGGCGUCUUGAGCCAUGGAUCGAGUACCGCCCUGAAUGUUUUUUUCUGGUUCGGAACGUUGGUUCGCCUCCAGAACCACUUGUGAAUUGACAUCUAGUGGUACUUCGACUCGGAUUUCAGGUACUUCGAUUCGAGCUUCAGUGACAUCGUUAAGUGGCCUUCCGGCCCUGGGUAUCAAGUUGUUGGUUUCUUCCUGAAGGCCGACUUCGUGGUCGAUAGGUAAAGCCAUGAAUCGAGGGUUUGCCAUUGCUGAUCCGGAGUUUAAACUGGUGCGUAUUGCGGAUUUGUAUCAAACAACCACGGUUAUCCUUAGCCCCACGGUGGGCUCCAAUCUGUUUACCCGAAAAAUCGGAUAUAGUUAAAUUUAUAAGUAGUUCAAAGGAUAUGUGAUAUAGCUUGAUAUACCCAGUUACAGGAUCUAAUCCUCCACGAAAAGUAAGAAAUUCCGCAUAUUUUGACCAAUUCAAGGUAAAUCGUAUACAUAGAAGUGGAAAUAUUUUGAUUCUUGGCUAUAGAAAUGGGAUAUAAAUUGUUGAACUAGAAGAGUGAGUAUGCUGAGUAAAAUAGGCUUAAGAGAUUUAUUCUUCAACAAAUAGAAGUAGUCUUUUCUUACAAUGUGUCAACGUGCUUGUGCUUACAAGGAUUUUCCCUUUAUAGUAGAGAGAUCUUACUUUAUUUAUAAUAAAAUAUAUAUAUAGUGGAGAACCCAUGAUAAAUUGUCUCUUCCUCGAUUCCUUCCAAGAUUCUCUCCCCUAGUGCGGUUGCAACGACUCCUGUCUGCGAGCUCGAUACUGGCUCGAGCUCGAUAUUGGGUCGAGCCCUCGGCCUUGAGUUUGAGUUCGACAUUCGGGGUGAGUGUCAAUCGGUUUGUGUAUCUCCGACAACCUUCUCUUUACUUUGCGGUUCGAUUUGGUCAUGUGCUUGAUAAUGAUACCGAGCCGAUUCAUCGAUCGAUCUUGGAGCUCGAGGCUUGUUUGCACUAUCCUCGAAACUCGUCUCGAGUUCUCACUUCGAUCGCUUACCAUUCAAACUCGAUCAAACGUACGGAGGCCGAAAUCUAUUUCGACCGUAUACAUUACUGUAUUAGAGGUUCAUGAUAAAUAAGUUCAGGCGAUUGUCAACUUUACAAAGUGAUUUACUCCGGUGUACACAUAUUAGAUGCGGUAAGAGUCACUUAUGUUCUAUUACGCUUACUGUAACUUAUUAAUGGAAAUAAUUUAAUCCUUUCAAUAGACUUGGCUAAGGAACAAGCACAAAUAUGUGCUUGGUGUAUAAAUUUCAUAAAAUAAUGUCACUGUCUCAUAGUUGACUAGCAAUUUUUAAGUUAUAAAUAUUAGGUGAUCGCCAAAACUAAUGCAAUAGUUGCUCUUUGCUUACAUUUUAUCCUACAAUCUGUGUAUUUGCUGUCAUUGUAUGAGUUCUUUGAUGCAUUCUUAUUUUGGUAGCUAUAAAGAAUAGAGUACCUAAUAAUAUUUCCUUUAAACAAAUGAGAACUUUGAUGUAGCUAAAGCGCUUGACAAUAUGCUUAAGAGGUGACAAUAUAUUUUAUGUGUUAUAUAUUUUUCUAAAGGAUGUGUCAUGUCUUCAAUUGCUGUAUGCAUAUUUCUCAUAGUUGUCUCUGGAAGUAUUCUGGGGUUUGUGGAAAAUGGAUAUGUCCCAGGUUCUGAUGUGAUUUUGUAGAAAUAUAUAAAAUUCUGUUCUCACUUAUCAACAUAUCUCAACACUAGCAAAACUCUACUACUGCUUUGUUGCACCAUUGGCAGAGCUGGCUGUUAUGCUUUUGCCUUAUUUGACUCUAAUUUACAUUUCUCUUCAUCGUUUUGGCAAUUAUGUACAGUAUAAUAUGUAUGAAGCCUAUUGUUCGUAUUAAGUAUAUCUAAAUAGCGGAUGAUCAAUUGAUGACAAGCUGAUUUAAGUUUUUUUGGCCAACAAUCUUUAGCUUAUGUUGUGCCAAUUGAAUGGCUGACUCUUACGGUUUUGCCUUAUUUGGGCUCUAAUGUAGAUUUUUUUUAUCGUUUUGAAAAAUCUGUGGGUGCUUUGUUCUUCUUCAUUGUCCUUCAUAUAAUAUUUGUCUAAACUUCUUGUAACUGUCCAACAACUUUACCUAUAAAAGCCAGUCUUCUUUGUGAAUUAUCUAACACAGAAAAUACUUUUAUCUUCUCUUCUUUCUAGGUAACUGUUUUGUGCAAAUUCUAAACUUCCAGCCACGAGUGCACAUGUUUGGAGGUGUUGUGGAGCCUUGGGGAGCGAUUGGUCUUAACGAUUUGCACCCAGUCGGGCCGAAAUCGCUUUCAAGGCAGUGACUUGCCACGACACGGUAUUUUUGAUAAGUUGUUCUUGUUUCCUUCUUGUUCUUAGUCAAUAUUAUUUACUCAUUUUCCUUACAAUUUGAAAGCGAUUUUACAUAUAAUAUUGACUAAUGGCUACCACUUGGAACAAAACACUUCCUGAUCUGUCAAAGCUUGAGCCUUUAGAUGGAAACAAUUAUAAACAUUGGUCCGAGAAACUUUUAAUUUUUUUUGAAUAAUUAGAAGUUGAUUACGUUUUGUCUAACGAUAUAUAUAUCUUAUACAUUCGCCGACUAUUUUUAAUUUGAGAGGCAGAGCUAAUAGUUAUUUUGAUUAGUUAUUCAAUCUUUUAGAGGAGCUCCACCCAUUAACAGUUGUCCUAGAAAUAUUCUUCACAUUUUCCAGCAAGCCCAUGCUCCCGUUUGGGUAAGGCUUUAACUUGAAAAGAGCUUCAUUCCUAUUUUUGGCAAAUAGCAUAGCUUGCGUCCAACGACUUUAUUAUCCCUCUGAUGUAUUGUGCUAUAACUUGUUUCAGUCUUAAACUUUUUCAUUUCUUUCCCCCUUCCUAGUUACAAGCACAGCUUAAAUUCUGACUGGACCGACAAGUUAGACACUUCUGGCCCAUUACAAGGCCCAAACCAAUCGGACAAGAUAUAAAAUUAGAAAAAUUAACCCAAAUAACCGUUCACCUAAUUUCUUAAACUAAAAUUAGCCGGAGGAUGUAUAAUAUAUGUAUAUAUAUAUAGUUCAUAUAUGAUAUAUGUAUAAUUGUGUGUAGUCAAUGUAUAAUCUAUGUAUACCGGCUAGAAAAAGUAAACAUUGUAUCUGGCCAGCUAUUUAUGUAACAGUUCCAUAAAAUUAGCCGGUCGGUCGAAAUUAAUUGCACUCGCUAGCCCAAAAAAAAUAUAAAAUAUAUAUUUUUUGUUGGCUAUAUUUUCGGAAGCGACUAAAAAUAUACAUUUUUCUCAAGUAUCCAACAUUUCUAAAUAAGAGAAUGAGAUGGAUUACGACAAUACAAGCUUUGCUCCUCCACUACAUGGCCCUAUUGGCUCUUGCACAUCAGCACUGUAUCUGUGCUGAUUACUUGGCUAUUUCUUCUUAACACUGAUAAAAUUAACUCAAAUAACUGCUCAUCCAACUGCUUAAAUUAAAAAUAGCCAGUGGAGGUAUAAUAUAUGCAUAGUUCAUGUAUUAUAUGUGUAUAACUAGUUUUAAGAUACGUGUGUUGCGUGUGUACUCUAUAUCAGUAUACAUAAGCUCUUGAAAAUAAUGAAUAUUGAUCCCGCUAAGCCAACUUAAAAUUAAAAAAUUAUGUCAAGGCAAAGUAUACUAAUGUCUUAUCAUAACUUCGAUAUAUGAGUCAUUUAUUUAUUUUUACAGUUGAGACAUAGUAGAAUAAUAUGUUGAAUUGUAUUCAUAUAUCAUACGAUAAUACUAUCUUUGUUGCCUUAAAAUAUGAGUUUUAUUUUAUCAAGUAUUCUAUCUAAUAUGAACCAGUUAGAGUGUAGCCCGGGCCCAAAAGCUAUCUAGUAUUGUUACUAAUACUAUUAGUUUAGAUGUCACUCACUUUUUCAUUUAAAUCCACCGUGUUGGUUAUGUAAAUGGUGAUAAAUUUAUGCCCUCAAGGGCUAUAUGUUUCAGGUUGGGCAUCCUUCUUGGUAAAAUAGAGCGUAAGUCUUUACAAUAUUUUUCGGUAACACAGUUGAUAUGUACCAGAUUAUAAAUGACUCGACUAUAGUGGGAGAAGUAAUUUUUCUACCAAAGUUAUCUGACCAAGAAAUUUAGUUGUGAGGAGUCCUGCAAUAGUCUUAGAAUACAUAAUAUUUUGCAAUUGAGAGAGACAUGAUAUAUGGUCGAUUCGGCUAGCUUGUGUAGAUAGAUUUUAAAGAAGUUACAUCAAGAUCGGAAAAUGAACUUAGUAUACACACUGCAAGUGUAAUAAAUUGAAAAAAUAAGAUAUUUCAUAUUUGUAAAUCACAAUUACUUUAUUUUCUCUAGUUGGUUUGCCAAUAUUAAAGGUGUCAAUAUUACUUAGGUAAAUUUGUACUAAAGGUGUCAAUAUUAAAUAGAAAAGGAUGUAGUUAGACCAGAGAUCCAAGAAUGUUGAAUUUUUCUUGUAGUUAUAUAAAACAUAUUAUUUUCACUCUACCAAAGUACAUGGAAAUAACCAAACUGAGCAUAACCUAAUCCUUUUGAUAACUAACGCUACAAUGAAGCUUUACUCCGAGAUGUCACUUUUUGUGCACUUAAAGUGACACUCACAUAUUAGCAGAUGUGAUGGACAUUUUAUCUCUAUCGAAAUUAUCAAAAUGAGUAGCAGAAUUAUUUACUAAAAGAUUUUAUAUGAAGAUGAGGAACCGUAAGAGCUAGUAGCUGUGAGUCAUAGGUAAUAUCAGUACAAAAGUUAUUUGUUUUACAUUAAAAUGUACGUUCACAACAGUACGCAAGCUCAAACACUGGUCCAACAUUUGGAAGCUCUUUAGUUUAAUUCUUUGUUAGCUUUAUUUUAUAUCAUAUUUAUUUUAAUUAAUUUGGAGUUUGUUCUUCGCACAUUGACCCAAAGAAAAGGAUAGUUCUUGUGCUAUAUUUCAUAUAUAAUCCUAAUUUAUCAUUUGAAUUCAAGGAGCGGCGGGUUCAUUUUACAAAAAGUUGGAAAAAACCCCUAUUUACAAAUCAUUAUGAGAUCUUCUAAAAUUAUCUGAGUAAAAUGUGGUUGGGUUAGGGGGGUGGGGGUGGGGGUGGGAAUUUUAUUAAAUAAUAGUAACCUUACAGACUUAUCCAAUUAAAAAAACCGAUUCCAAGCAUAAUUAUCAAAAUGAGCCUAAGCAAUGGACUAAGAAAUGCAAUUAGCAAAUUAAAGGACAACUAAAGUAGUAGAUAUAUAACAGUGAUGCAAAUCUUCAUAUACAUCAAAGCAAUACGUUUAGCGAAAAAUGAUAUUAUUAUAUGCUUGUUGAGCAAGUGUUAUCUCUUUUAGCAAUUGUAAGAUGAGCAUGUAUCAGUCUAAUAUUUGAAAUUCUAAAAUGUAUAUAAAAUUAUGACAUCUCGACAACUCUUUAUUUUGAUAAAUUAAUUUGCAUUUUUUUUAAAUAUUUAUGCAUGAUUUAUUUUAUAUUUGGUUUGGGAAAAGUAUAUACUUGAUCUCGAUAUUUUUGAAGUAAGACAAUUGUACCUAUAUAUUUUUGUCUCAUGUUCCUGUAACGUCCAAUUAAUCUAAUAGUAAAUUUUUUACCAACCACAUAUGAUUCUCUUCUUAUCCAAUCUAAAAUCAUAAAUGCGAUAUUUAAUUUUUCAAGACUAUCAUCAGUAUAUUGGAAAUCACCUCGAGUGCCCAAAAAAUUAGGUGUCAUUAAAAAUAAGUAUUAUGAUAGAAGUUGUAAUCAAACUAAGUUUACAAUGAAGGUGCAUAUUUCUUGAAUGUGGAAACUCGAUCAUGCUUAUUGUAAUUGUGUGAUUUUUGAUAAUUAAUUUUUGCCAUUUCCUUUUUGUCACCUAUACGUCCAUUACAUCAAUUUUUGUUUGUAGAAAGCGUAAUGGCUGUAGGUUCCUGUAAUACAUCUUAACAUCUAGAAUAAUCCUAGUAAGUGUUUGGCUUUUCUUAUUAUGUUUAUCUUAAGGAAAAGCUAAUAUCUUUUCGUGCUUUACGUAAUUUUAGAUAAUAUUAAGUAAGAUUUAAAUCAUAAAUAUUUGAACUACCAAAAUAAUCAUAAGAGUUUUAGUGGUACGUCUUCUUUUAUGCCUUUGCUCUGUUAUUUUAACAACUGAUUCGAUUAUUUAUAUUGUUGUAUACUUUAGUAGCAAAUAAAUUAUGCAGUAUAUGACGCACAAAAUUAUUUUAUGUAAUAUUUUAAGGGAUAAUUUUUAUAAAUAGAGAUGGGUACUGUGCCUAGAUAAUCAUGCAAUUAUUUUGAUAAUGUUUUUUGUUCUUGCUAUUUUGCUUUGAAUUUAUGUUAAUUAUAAAAGAACGGUUCAACAUUAAAGUCUUCCUGAAAAAUUAAAUUUUAUCACUUGUUCUUCAAAUUAAAUUUUACCAAUACAAACGGUAGUUUUAGAAUAUUUAAAUACUCCCAAGCUCUCAACUGAGUUUUAAAAGACCUAAAAUGCUCUAGAUUACAUUUCAAGCAUAGUAUAAAUAUUUUUUUUCCACAAAAGUUUAAAAUUAUUGAGCACAUAUUAAACAAUAUAUAAAAUAGAAAACGGGUUGUAGUUUAGCUUGCUCCGGACUUAAUAGAAAAUCUUAGAAAUCUUAUCCUCAUCCCUUUAUACAAAAAGGUGAAAAUCCCUAUAAAUUGUACCAUCUUACGUGGCCUAGUGGAGAAUAAAUGACUAAGCAGCUGUACAUGUAGUCAAAGUAGAGCUGAUUAUUUGGCCUUUGCAUAAUAUCUCAACCGUACCGUUUAUUUACUUAUUCCGUAUGAUGGCAAUUGUAGUAAUAAUGAGCUAAUUCAUGAAAAAUAUUGUUUGUCCAUGAAUUAGCUCAUUAUUACUACAAUUGCCAGAAUAAGUAAAUAAAGGGUACGAUUGAGCUAUUUUGCAAAGCCUAAAUAAUCACUCUACGUUGCUUAGUCAUGAUGGUACAAGUUACAAGGAUUUUCACCUUUUUGUAUAAAGGGAUGAGGAUAAAAUUUCUUAAGGUUUUCUAUUAGGUCCAUCAUAUACUGUGAGAAAGCUAAAUUGUAGCCCAUUUUCCAUUGUAUAUAGUGUCUAAUAUAUGCUGAAUAAGUUUAAAUAUGUGGAAAAAAUUAGUUCUUAUACUAUGGUUGAAAGGUAAUCCAGAUAGCAUUUUAAGUCUUUUAAAACUCAGUUGAGAGCUGAGUCUACAUUUUUAAAAUAUUCUAAAACUACUGUUUGUAUUGGUAAAAUUCAAUUUGAAGAAUUAACAUAAAUUCAAAGCAAAAGAGCAAGAACAUAAAAAUAUUAUCAAAACAAUAUUGACUUUUAUAUGGUUAUUUAGGCAGAGUACCCGUCUCUAUUUAUAAAACUCUAUCCCUUGAAAUAUUACAUAAAAAUAAUUUGAUAUGUCAAAUACUGCAAUAAUUCACUUACUACUAAAACUCUUAUGACUAUUUUGGUAGUUCAAGUAUUUAGGAUUUAAAUCUUAUUUGAUAUCAUCUAAAAUUGCGUUAAAGCACGAUAAGAUAUUAGCUUUUCCUUAUGAUAAACAUAAUAAGUAAAGCCAAACAUUUACUAGAAUUAUUUUAGAUGUAUUACAAAAAUCUACAUCCAUUACAAUUCAUACAAACGAAAAUUGAUGUCGUGACGUAUAGGUGAUAAAAACUAAUUAUUAAAAAUCACACAAUUACAAUAAGCAUUAUCGAGUUUCCAUAUUCAAGAAGCAUGCACCUUCGUUGUAAACUUUGAUUACAACUUGUAUCAUAAUACUUAUUAUUUUUUAAUGACACGGGUGAUUUUCAAUGUACCAAAUACCAAACUUAGUUGAGAGGAGAAUUAGAACGAGUGACGUGCGCCUACCACGCGUCACGUGCUGUACUAACUUUGCCCUGGACACAAGUAGAUGACUCUCAUUUGGUGACAUAUAAGCGAUUUUCAGAUGUCACAGAAUGGAAUAAUUCUGGAUGGUAAGAUCAGGAGUUAAGAGAAAGCUUCUCUAGGUUUUGGAUUCCUUGAUUCGAUGUUUUCUUCAUUUCAAGAGCUCGUUUAUAUGGCGGUGCAAUUGGAGGUUGUACAGGAUCUAAACACUGAUAGGUUCCAUCUGCAGCUUUAGGAAGUGGAUAUGAACGGUCUGAAUCGUACCCACUAAGGUCUCCACAAGCCAGAAAUGGAAUAUACAUCUUAUUAGGACCUUCCAGCCAUGCACUACUGCAAUCUGUCAUGAAACAAAAAUGUUUGAAAGAUGAUGCAAAAUACAAAUAUAAGCGGAAUUAAAUAUAAUCUGCAUUUAUAAAAUGGAAACCACAUUACUUCCAACAUAAAAAACAGCAACUAGAAACUAUAUUCCAACACGAAGAAAAAGAAAUACAGGCAGAAUUAAGAUCCAUGUCACUUGCCUCAAAAAUCAUAAGGUGGCAAAAUUUAUAGUUAGCGUAAAGUAAAAGGCCAUUUAGAGAAGAUGCAUCUGCACAUGAAAUUACCUAGGUCCUCUGUGCCAGAUGGACUUCCAAUCUUUUCAAGAAGGCGAUGAAGAUCUUUCUCAUUAAAUCCUUCAGGUGGAGAGUAAUUCUCGCAAACUGCAAAUGCCUCUGUACAAGGUAACACUAGUAUUAAAUUUGGUUAGUUAGCAGAAAAUAUGUUAUGAAAAAUAUAUAAUCUAGGCAGGGAGACCACACGGGUGAGGGCGGGGGAGGAGCGAGGCGAUGGUGUUAUACAUCGGGGAUCCAAGUCGGGGUUGGGGUUGGGAUCGGGGUAAGGGAUAGGGUUAGUGUCGGGGUUCGGGACGGGGUCAUGGUCAUGGUCGGGACUUCGGGGUCGAUUGGUGAAAGUGUCGGGAUCUAGAUAGAGGGCGAGAUUAGAGUCGGGUUCGAGAUCAAGGUCGGGAUCAAUUUACGAGGUCGAGAUUGGGUCCAAGGUUGAGGUUCGGAAUUCGGGGUCAAGUAGUGGUCGGGGGUCAGGACCGAGGGUCUAGGGUACGACCCCGGGACCUCACCCCAUAUCUCGACCCUGAGCCUGAACUCCGCCCGGACCUUAGGCCCAAUCCCGAACUCGACAUCGGACUUGUACCCCUACUGCCCCGCCCUCACCCAUUUUGUCUCGGGGUGGUUGGGGUGAGAUCGUGGUGUAGGGUGGUAAGUCAGGGGUUUGGGGGCCGGGUUGGCAAAGGUGUGGAUUGGGGGAGAGGCUGGCGGUGAGGAAAGUAGAAAAUUUGUUUUGGAAAAUGAGUUUCUCUCUUGGUAGGGAAGUCAUUUUCCCCCAAUUGGAGGAAAAUGAGUUCAUAAGGAAAAUAUUGUCCAAAAUAUUUAAGCCAACUAAACACGAAAAAAUUGAAAAACAUUUUCCUUCAUACAAAACACACCCCAAGUUUCAUUCCAAUUCGCAUUUGAUAUAUCUGAUAUAUCUUAUAGACUCCGCUAAUCCUAAAACACCUACCGCUAAUUCAGAGAAAUAACCAAAGUUGAAGCCGGAUAUACAAACUAACUCUGCAGAAACAUCAUAAGGCAGUAGACCUUACCCCUACCCCUGGGUAAAGAGGUUGUUUCCAGUAGACCCUCGGCUCAAGAAGAUGAAAAGAAACAAUAGAAUAGUAACAACAACAAAGGCUAGAAAGAUAGUACCAGCUCCCUAAGAAACAGGAAGCAAUCAAUAUUAGGAAUAUUUCUGUGUGAAACAACAAACAUGAGUCCUUUCUAGAUUGUAAGGGCAUAAAGCAAAUACUGAAAAUGGCAUUGGUAGCAUGGGAAUUAUUGUGCAGACCAAAGAAGUAUGGAGGGUUAAACAUAAAGGGGUGUAAGCUGUGGAAUGUAGCAUCUGUGGGGAAACUGUUAUGGCAACUAGUGACCAAUAAAGAAGUGUUGUGGGUAAGAUGGGUGCAUGGUGUGUAUAUGAAGACGUGUAGGAACAUUUGGGAUCACAAUCCACCUGUGGACUGUAGCUGGUAUUGGAAGAAGAUCAAUGGAUUAAAGCAUAACAUGUCUCAAUGGUACAAUGGGAGCACAUACACUCUGGAAAUGGUGCCUGUUCUGUUUCGAGUAGUUAUAAUGCGAUGUUAGGCCACAUGUCAAGAUGCUGGGAAAUGAGUUUGGUAUGGAGUGGAGUGAUGUUACCCAGGCACAAAUUUGUGCUAUGGAUAGCAAAUCAACAGAAAAUGCUAACUAAGGAGCGACUGUUGCAGAUGCAUAUUUCUAUCACAGGGGAUGCUGAAUGUUGUAUGUGUGACCUGGGAGUAAUAGAGUCCCAACAACAUUUGUUUGGUGACUGUUGUUGGGUGACAACUAUGAGAGAUGCUCUGGCAAGGUGGUCUGGCAUCAAUAUACCAACUAUGGCUAUACCUGAGACAUUACAGAGGAUUAGCAGGAGGCAUUGGAAGCAAUUUAAAAAAGAAAUAGCAGCAGCAAUGAUAGGAGCAGUAGUAUAUCAUACUUGGCGAGCUAGGAACUGGAAAAUCUUCAGGCAAAUCAACUUGAACAUGGAAUUUUGUGUUGGACAAAUCAAGAAAGAGAUUGCAGAAAGAUUGAGUAUAUAUGAAGAAUCUAGAAGAGCAAGACGAUGUCCAUUACUGUUAAUACGAUUGUGUAAUUAGACUGUAGUACAGUUGGUAUUUCUUUUUGUAGUAGAUGAGCUCAUGUAUUUAGAGGAUGUUUUUUUUUUAGAGGUCGUGCUGAACUGGGAUAAGCUAGUACACGCGAUGCUCGUAGGAUGUAAAGCUUUUGGGUUGUUAUGGUAAUAUUCACAGUUUAUUACCAAAAAAGCAAAUACUGAAAUCCUUGAAAUUUUACAAUAUUAACUUCUCACGAAAUAUUACAACAUUAUUAAUUUGCAAGAGCUCGCAAAUGAAUGGGUUCCAUUAGCAGGAAAAUUUGCCACGUAAACAAGGUAGAAAACAUUAGCUACUCACCUAUGCUAGAAUUCCGACUGCUCUUUGGCUUAGCAAAAGUCACUUCUGUGAAAAAUAGUUUUAGCUGCAUUAUGAAGGCAAAACAUAAGCAAUCCACCAUGAUAACUCAAGAAUGUAGAACAUCCGACAACAGAAAACAAGAAACAGAGGUCUCCCCUAAAGACUAAACGAGAUCUUGAAUGAGUGAGGAAACUAAAUCCAAAAAUAAUGAGUACACGUGCAAUGAACCUGACAGUAAAGGAGGCUUGUGUCUUUUCCUCGAAAAUUUUUUGCUAUGAACUUUCCGCCUCCUUUUAGUAUGUGAGUGACAAUGGUUAGGCCCUGCAAGUUCAACCACCCAGGUGACAACUGAGAUAUCUCCAAACAGAGACUGAGAACAACAUGGCAGACUUACAUGAGAAACAUCUCUUUAAGCACAUAUAACUGAUCUUUCAAGGAAUAAGCGAACACUAUAAGCAGGAUACCAAAAAACUAAAAACGAAGUAAGAUGACAUACAGAAACAAUUAUUUUCGUUUUUUGGUAAUCUAUAUACAAAGCAACGUGAAAUAGUGAGAUAACAUCACCAGAUAAAAGAAGAAUAAGUUAUCUUCCUCAAAACAAUAACAACAACAACCCAGUAAAUUCCCACUAAUGGGGUCUGGGGAGGGUAGUGUGUACACAGACCUUACCCCUACCCCGAAGGAGUAGAGAGGUUGUUUCCGAAAGACACUCGGCUCAAAAAAAUAAAAAGACAAAAGAAAACACAAUUUAUCAUGGAGAUUUACAAAAAAGCAUUUCUUUCAAACAUCCUAAUUAGAAAACAAGGAACUUCUAAUUAGGCUUUCAAGUGUUCCUGGACAACAAUGGCACUGAUAAUUUUAUAGAUGCAGGCAUGCAGCAAAGCCAUGAAAACUACACAUCUAUAUGAGUGUGCCUUUUAGAGUUAUUACAGUGUUGCUAUAUUGAGGCGAAUAUUAUUCACUAAAUUAAUUCCACCUAUUUUCUCUUAGAAACUAACCGCCAAUAUAAGCUGGGACUGAACAAAUUCAUCCAUGUCAUGAAGUCCCGUUACUGCAACAUAAGAAAAACAUAAGCACAGAUUAGUUUCGUCAAAUACAGCAAACAUCAAAGUAAUGUAUCAGGGCAGUUGAAAGCAAUUUCUUACCAUCAGGUGCACCAUCACAGACAACAAGGUCAGCCUUGCAUCCGUCAAAAUGUCUAAUAACCUGUUAGAAAUUGACAAUGGUGCAUAUAAAUGGUUAACCACAAAGCAUGAGGGAAAAUAACAUAUUACUAAUAUCUCCUAAUAUACUCCUUGAAGAACGAGAAAAACAAAGAAGAGCAAAUGUAAAAAACGUAGACAAUAGGAGACGAACACACUAAGAUAAGAAGCCCAAUGUAUUACAACAUUAUGAGUAGCAUGGAUGUACAAUAUUUUUGUUGAGCAAAUUGCAGCACCAUCCCUAAUUUUUUGCCUAAAAUGCAAACUCAAUGUUUUCACAGCCUGAAGUCAUGGAUCACGCCCCUUGUGUUAUAAAAGUUAUUUGUGUAGCAGUCCAGCCAAUAGUGACACAGAUCAAGGUAUAAAAAGACACACAUCAAGUUCACCACAUCCAAUCCUAAAUUACACGAGAACUCUCAAAGAUGCAGUUGGACAAAACUAGCCACCUUCAUUCCAAAUUUAACCUUCUCUUUCUCUGAGCAUUAUGUCUAAUGGGCAUUGUUUACCCUCAAAAUCGGAUAACAAUUGAAUUUAUACGUUGUUUUAAGGAUACGUGAUAUAACUUGAUACAAAUUAAGAAAACAAAUUGAUAUUGAAGAUAAAAGAACAAAUACAAACCACACGAAUUGAACAGCCUUGACCUUCGAGUUUGAUCACCCUCGAACCAAGAAAUGCCUCAACUGAUGUAUGAACAGAAUAACAAGAUGAUAAAAGCUAGAAAUGACAGUAUAUUGCUUUGUGUUGCGUAUUGCAAUGUAUGUUACAAAUGAUCAGACCCCCCUUUAUAUAGUGGGGGAAUCCUAUUCUUGAUACAAUUCCAUAUAAGGUUAAAAAUCUCAUGAUUUGCCAAUUAAUCGGCCUCUCAUUGAUAUGUGCCGGGAUUUCCGCCGUAAUCCCCAACCGGUCACGAAUAUUUCGUCUUUCUGUUAUUUGGCUUGGCAAAUUUCCCUCGAUCUCGUUUGGUCUCGAUCUUCUUCGAUCCCGAGGUCACGAUCUCAACGAUGUAACUUCGCACCUCGGUUCGAUAUAACCCGAGAUCGAGCUUAAUCCUCUUACGUUUCAGUCUCGAUUGGUCACACAAUAGGCGGACCCGAUGAAUCUUAAGGGAGAUAAAUUCUUUAAGAGAUAUUUCAAGAAAAUUAAACAAAAUAAAUAAUAAUGGCUUAAGUAAGAAAGUAGAGUGAUAUAACUGUUCCAUCCACUAAAUUUUCUCAGCCAUCGAAUACUCCAUCCAUUCUAAAUGCUCUGGUUUUUUUAAUAAUUAAUUUUAGAUUCUCUCAAAUAGCUCUACUAUGGAACAGGAAAAGGUGUGUUACUUUCCUUUUUAGGUAGUCAAUUUUUUCAAAAUGUCUGCUUCAUCCAUUUCAACUUUAAAAUUUUGUUCUUCAUAUGGAAGACAUUAUGAAAAAAUACAAACACUAAAAUUUCCAAAAAUGGUUCUUUUCUACUUAAAUUGCUUAUAUUUCCAGAAAAAUAUCCACAAUCAAUUCUCACAGUUUAUAAGUUUUUGUAUUACAUACCAUAGAUAAUAAUUAUCUCAAUUCAUGAAAGUGCACAUGCAUCAAAUGUGCCAAAAUGCUAGUUAUUAUCGAAAGCUAAUUAGGAAGUUAUAAAACAGCCUUCAAAUAAAAUUUCAUAUUAAAUAAAUGAAACAGCAUAGGGAUCCAUACCACUUCAGCUGUUUUAGCAUUUGUUAUAUCACCCUGUACUUGAAUAACACCUUCAAUGGGAGCCAUAGGCUGUAAGUCAAUAGCCACAAUAAGUGGUAGAUCGUCGUCCCUAGAAAUCACAUGAAUAAGAAAGAUAGUAGCACCUCACAUUACAUGUUGGUGACAUGGCCAGGAAAACCAACAAAAAAUAUAUAUAAGUGAUAGCAACUUGACUUUUACAAUUUUAAAGUUGGUCGAAGAGUGAAUGUUAAAAUCUCCUCUCCCACGGACGUAUUAUAGCUGCAACGGCAAGCCUCUAAGGUAUGAAACUUGUCAACAGCCUAACUCAAUCACCAUUAGAAAAAAUUAAUGGAGAGCAACUUUUUCCCAUUCCACGUGGUCAUGUGGGGCAAGGUCAAUGUGUUACUAGGAUCUAGGAGAAGAGGAUGCAGCAAGCUGAAGCUUUGGUUCAUCCGUUCAUGACUAAUUGUUCUUCCAUAUUAUUACAUGAUGAAUAUGAUAGCAUGCUGAUUAACUCUCUUUCCAAAAGAUUGAAUUAGGAAGAAAUAAGACAAAAGUCAAAACAAGUCACAGAAGCACCAACUACACAGGAACACUCUAUCGUUAGAUUUGAAAAGACAACUUUAUAAUAUCAUUAUAAUGGGCAUAUUUAUUCACUUUUUCUUAGUAGACUAACUAGCUAAGUGACUAAGAUAUUUGCUGGAUUAAGAAACAUUGACCUGGACAACCAUCUCGAGCUCCUAAUAUGAAUUAUCCAUCAAAAAGACGAACAGAGGAAAGAGCAAUUGACAUAGAACCAAUUCUACAAAAAGGAAAGUAUACAUACUUGGUAUCAGGUGACAACUUUGCUGGGAGAUAUAACUUCCGGCUUAAAACCUAUAAAGAGAAUAAAAACAUUUAGGGACUUGGAAAUGGAGCACACAAUAAGGAGAAAGACAUGUAGCACAUAAUUGUAUUUCUUUACUUUUUCAUAUCUUUCAUUGUGGAAAGUAGUGGUACUAUCAGAAACAAGCCAAAUAAUGGUGCACCAUAAAACAUAAUGCCAAAUCCAACAGCACGUAGAUAUUUGUCCAAUAAGAACCUCUAAGAAUCAGAAAAGGAAAAUUCUUUCCAUUUAUUUCCCUAGUAAAGUUCACAAAUUACAGUCUAAAAAACAUAGUACUUUCCGGGCUUAAGACUGAACUCCCUCUUUUUUAAUUCUCAAGAUAUUUUCAGUUCUAAUGUUCUAUGUAGGUCUGUUCCGUUAGAGCUUAAGAAAGCACAGAGGGGAAAGACUUUCAAGUUUAGAAGCCAAAUCAUAUGGCAAAAAACAAAAGUUUGACCAAAAUAAGACACCAUAAUACUGAUAACCUUGGGUAAAGAGAGAGACACAGAAGGGGGGGGGGGGGGGGGGGGCAAACCUCUACAUAUGACAACAUUUGUCCUAUGGCAUUAGUCACGCAAGUGUAAAUACGUAUAUAUGCAAAGAUAUGCUGAGAACUUGAGAAUCACCUCCAAAAUCUAUAUCACUCUUAAAAUGAUUAUAAAUUAUAGUAAUCCUUUCAAAUAAGCAUGAGUAAGCACAAGACUAAAGAUAUCAGUUGUGUUAUUCUGAAUAAAAUAAAAUAAAAUUAAAAAGGCAAAUCUUUAUAGCAGGUGAUUAUUGAUUACAGAGCUAUACCCAGACACAGAAACAACAAUAACCAACUAACAAAGUUCCAAUUAUAAAUACCUGACUCCAGCUGCCUGGUGCUGCACACAAAUCCACAACUCGCUUCACACCUGCAUAUAUACAGGGCAAUUAACGAAAUUCCACAAGCAAGCAAUUCUGACCAACAAAGCAACGUAAAAUAAUAUUAGUUAACUCCUAAUCUGCAACAUUUUGCUGAAAGAGUAUACUAGCAUCCAUCUAAUCAUUCAACAUACAAUUAUUUCAAGCUCUAACCAAACAUAUUAUGGGAAACAUAAAAAUUGAUAUCUUGUUCUCCAUAGUCCAUAUAAAAUAUUGCUUCAAAACCUGAAAAUUUAGCUUGUCUACAACUUCUUUAAUUUUCAUAAAAGGGAUUAAGCCCUACAUCAGGAGCUGCAUUGUAAUGAAUUAACGAAGAGCUGCCAACUUUUCCAGAUCCAUCAAAAAGAGAAAUCACAAGUAAUAAAAGUUUUUACUCAUUAAAGUCAGUUUGAUAACGAGAAGCCGUUCUUUUCUUGGUAAAGAUAAAAUGCAGCAACUUUAAUAAUAUUAAUCUUUUUCCUUACAUGUGGAGUCAAUCAGGAAAAAAAAACUAUGAAAAUUGCAAGCAAGUUAUUGAGAAGAGAACCUUCAAAGAUGUUAAAUUCCUCAUCAAUCUGAAGGAGCUUGAAGGCACUUCGGGCACGCCAUCCUUCUUCCUUUGCUUUCCGAUAGUAAAUAUCCUACAAAAUUGAAACCUGUUAAGGAUGAAGCGUCUGGUUAUAAGCAAAAGAAAACGUCUGCAUAAAAUCCAUACUCUUUUGUCCCUCGAUGCUUUUCCCAUCGCAUAAACCUUCAGUCCUCCAAAUUGCUUCAAUAUUGAUGGAGUAAUUGAAUUGGGCCGUAAACUAUGGCAGCAAAAGACUGAACUUUUUUAACCUUUAAGAGAAUUGAAGCGGCAAUGUCAAGUUUCUUAGCUAACCAACUCGCUAGUUAUUGCACAACCAAAAUAAAGAUAGCUUUUUUUAAUGACCGAGAAAUUAAGACCCUUAAGAGAAUAAGGAUUUGUCUGGGCCAAUCCAACAGCAACUUUCGGAACUCGGGGAUAGGGGGCCCUCCCCUCUACCUUCUCCAUUUAAAUACUCGGAUUAGUUCUCAUGGAGCAAGGCUCUAAACUGUGACUUUUCAAAUGCGGUCAUUAUCGCCCAACAAUUCCUUCAGCUUAUAUGCGUGAUAUCCGUGAAGCUAUAUGCGUGAUAUGCGUGAUAUCCCAAAUAUGAGCCGUGCUAAGACCUAAAGGUUGUGGUUUUUCUUUUGGGACUUACGUCGAACAACUUAUGAGCAAAUGCUGGGAUUUCGUUUAACAACACAAACAACAUGUAAAAAUAAGUUAACAGAGUAUGAGCUGGAGAAGUCACCUGACUACACUUCAAUUGAAGCAGAAAUGAAGGCGUCGCCGGUUACAAAAUUGGUGGACGUCGAGUUCAGCCACCGAGACGUAGAAAACUUUUUUCUUCUUCUCUCUUGAACUGGCAAUUGGUUCUGGGCCAAGCCCAUUUUCACAAAUGAACCCAAAAAAAAAGAGCCCAAAUUUCGUGCCACUUUUGAAAUUAUUGGUUGGUAUUGUAGAAAGAUAAUACGGCAAUAAAGUUACAAGUUGCUGAAUUAGUAAUAUAUGAAUUAUAAUUGAUGUUUCUAAAAGAUUUAUGCACUUAACACAGUAGUACCAUGUUUGUUUUUUAAAUAGAAUUAUUUACUUUCCUGCUUUAAAAUUGUCACAUCUCCUUUUUCCCGAGAAAUAGCGAAUUUUUCUAAUUAAAGUGACAUUAUUCGUAAUGGGAUUAUUUAUUUAAUUUAGAGUCGCCACUUGAAAUAAUUUUUAUGGUGUCCUAAGUCACCGAUUUAUUUUAAAAUCCCAAAUCGAGGAAAAUUAACUUUAUUUAUGGUCUGAACACAGAAGACCGGGUAAGGAAUUGUGUUAAUCCGGGAGAAGGUGUGAGGCACUCCCAAGUUACGUGGUUUUAGCACGGUCGCUCAACAAUUAAUAAUUGGCCUAAUUAUCUUAUUUAUUAUAUGUUUAAAACCUAUUGUGCAUUUCUACUUUUUAACUACUUUUAAUUAUUUAUUUAACUGCUUUUAGUAUUUAUGAAAGUUAUUUGAACAAGUCGCGAUGUCGCGCACUUAUUUUUUUUGGUACAUAUUGCAAUCGCGCUAAGUGAAACGCACCCGCGAUUUACAACAUGUUUAAAAUCAAAGAAAAUAAAAAAAAGAAAGAAAAAAAGAAAUAAGGAGUUUGUUUGGUCUUAGUAAGAAUUAGGCCAAAAGCCAUCUCAGUGGCCCAAAUGCCUUAAUUCCACCCGACCCAGUCCUUAAUCUACCCGGUCCAAUUCAGGUGAUCUAAAACGACGCCGUUUCAAAAACGGCUAAUCUUGGCCUGUCAUUUUUUUUUUAUCUGACGGUCUGCAACUCACCCCUCAUCCCCUUAAAAUUGUCCACCACCCCCCCCCCCCCCUAAACCAUAAAGACUCGUCCACUUCACUCAUCUCCCUCAAAUCUCUUGCAAGCGGCCCACCUCCGCAUACCUUCAAACCUUCACCAGAUAAUAUUCACUUCCCUCUCUCCUCAAAUCCCAAUUUCUAACCUAAUUUUCUGGGUUUUAUUGCACAUUAAACCCCUUUUCUAGAAGCUUCCCAUAUAAUCAACUCAGAUUCCUUAUCUUUGCUUUCCAAUUACCCCCUUAAGUUCCUGUUAAUUACAAAUGAACUACCCUCGAAAGAACAAGCAUACUCAACAGACUGAACCAUGCUUCAAUUCCCAACGGACCAAUUAAUCUAAAAUUAUACAAUUAGACUAAUUAUCUUGUAAUUGAACUACUAAAUCAUGCAAUUAACUAUUACCCUAAGCAUAUAACUAAAUAAUUAACGAACUACAAAUGCAAAGUUGCAAUUAAUUAAGAGCUAACCUAUUCUGGUUAAAAUUAAAUCACACAAACAGAAACAAUCUCAAUUAAAUGCCAAAACGCCGACAAACUGGUUUUUAACCAAAACAACAAAACAAAAAAACGAAAAUAUGAUAGAAUGAGGCAAAGGUAUACCAAUCGAAAGAAAGACGACGCUAUUGAAGCGAUUUUCCAUGAGGUUCUGCAGAAAGGAUAGAAAGACUGGCUACCGAGACUCCCGUUUGAUAGGGAACUUUCAGGCUUGGCGACCGUGUUUGGUUUUUUCUUUUGUCUCAGGAAUGGCUGCAAUGGCCUUCAGUGCCUGAUCAAAUUCCUCAUCUUCACAAAUCAUUCCGACAACUGGCCCAUUGGUGUGAGUAGGCAGAGGAUUAUUCAUCAUAUUCGGGGCCUCUUCUUCCAUGAGAACUAUUGACUUGGCCUCAAUGAGGUCUUCCACAGCUCUUUUGAGAGUCCAACAAUCUUCAGUGUCAUGUCCCAUUGCUCUGGAGUGGUAUUCACUCUAGCAUCAGCUUGGUGUGAGGGGGACUCGGGGUUUGGGCGGUUCGGAGCCACUAGCUGCAUCAGACCUAGCCUGACUAGCUUUAGAAACAAACUUGAAUACGAUUCACCAAUAGGGGUGAACCGAUUCCUUCUAAGGGGCUCUCUUGGGCGAGGAUUGUAUUGGGAAAUAUUUGGUUGGGAAAUAUAUGGAGCUUGAUAGGGAUGGGCAUUUCCGGGAGGUGGAGCUCGGCUUUGUGUAUAAUGUUGUGGCCGCGUAUAAGGUUGCGCAUUCAUCACCGUAUAGGAGACGGUGCCACGGCAUAAGUAGCAUCUUGAUGGGGAUAAUAGUGUUGUGGGACCUUAGGAAGCAUAUAUGAUUGGUUGAAUGCCCUAUAGAACCCCUUCGAGCUCAAAGCCAUCAUGACUCCCUCUACUCUCCCGUUUCUGUUCAUUAAACCCCCGAACCAUUCUGAACGGCCUGUGAUGCAUCCUUAAUAGCAGCUUGACUCAAGAUUAGGCCCGUUUUCAAACUAUUUUUUACCAUCUCCCCAAUUUUGAUAGCCUCAGCGAACGGUCUACCCAUAGCAGACAUCAUGUUCUGGAAGUAGUUCGCUUCUUAGGCCUGGAGAACGACCGUAACCAUUUCAGCUUCGUCCAUUGGAGGCUUUACCCUGGCAGCUUGCUCGCGCCAUUUGACAGCAUAUUCACGGAAGCUUUCUGUUGUUUUCUUUUUCAAAUUGGAUAAAGAGUUUCUGUCGGGAGCAAUGUCCACAUUAUACUAGAACUGGCGGACAAAAUCUCGAGCCAAAUCGUCCCACACGUGCCAAUGAGUAAUUUCUUGAUCGAUGUACCACUUGGAAGCAAUUCCGGUGAAACUUUCUCCAAAAUAGGUCAUUAAUAGCUCCUUUUUUCCACCAGCGCCCCUCAGCUAGUUACAGUAUCGUUUCAGGUAGCGAUCGGGUCUCCGUGCCCGUCGUACUUUUCAAAUUUUGGCAUCUUGAAGCCAACUAGCAAGUGGACAAGGGGAAACAUACACAGGUCGGAGUAUGAGACGCUCUUUUGGCCGCUCAAGCCCUGCAUGUUUUUCAGGCUUUGUUCCGGGAUUUUCAUCUUCCGAGCCAUUUCCUCUUGCUCGGGAUUCUUGACAAUCUUUUCUUGCUCCACCGGGAAGUCACAUUGCGGAGGUUGAUUAAAUGGGUACGGGGUCACAUAUAUUAUUUCUGGUUGAAACUGUGGACCAGGAAAGGUGAACGUUGGAGGCUCAACAUGUGGCCGUGGUAUAGUUGGUUGUAUGGCGGUGUAGACUGGUGCUACAGAGAACAUUGCUGGCGGUGUCCUUGAAUCUGGCGCCUAGGGGUGAACCACAGAAGGCAUGCCAGGACCAUUUGACGACAUUAGAGGGUAUCCACAUGGGAUGAUCAGAUUGGGCACAGGGACGUUGGUAGCCCCACAUGGCCAGGGAUCAACUCGGGGAACCCAGGUAUUGCAUUCGGUGAUUCCCUACCAUUAGAUCAGGCGUCCCACAUUUCAAACAUGCGGAGACGCAACAUCCUAUUUUCUUCAGCAGCUACUGAUUCUAGCUAUGGCAUAGCCGAUGCCGGACUAUCCUCAGAGUUGAUAAUUGGUAGAAUGCUUUCGGAGGCCAUAGGAACCUUGCCUUUAGAUCAUGUGAAGUAUGUAUGAGAAGCCAUAUUACCAACAAAACCAACAACCUGAACAAAACCUGGCUAAUUUGCACACCCAACAACCUUGUUAGUCUUGAGGCAUUUAACAUAUAGGAAAUUGCAAGUUGGGAUGCAAUGCACCUAACAGCUAAACGUUUCUAUCAUGUGUUUGAACGGUUGCAUAUUUCAUCCCGGCCUUAAACUAACCGUUUUUCACUCUGUACCUCUUUUCUUUCAUUUCUACCUUUCUUUAAUCACUCUUGAUUUUCUCAUUUUGUUUAUGUCGCUCUUUUAUUUUUGGCUCUCUCUUUUCUUUUUUUGUUUUUGUCACUCUUUUAUUUUUUGUCGUCUUUUUUUUUUCUUUUUAUUUUUGUCACUCUUUUCUUUCUUUUUCACUCAAUUAAUUUUAUGGCUAUGAUUGAAUCUGAUAGGGAUUGCCUACGUAUCAUGACGCUGCAUGAAUCAGAUCAUUACGUAGUUCAGGAAUACCAGAAACAGAGUAAAUAAACUAACUCUUUUUUUUUCUUUGUUUACUUUUUAUAAAACUCAGACCAUGAAAGCUUUUAGAAAAAGAAAAAUAUUUAUUUUUUGGAAUUUUCGAAAGAAAUGCUUUUAAAGAAGAAAGAAAAUAUUUUGCAUUUAUGGUUUUGAUUUUUUUUUUUUUUGAAAUGUUUGAAAGAAAGACUUCUAAAGAAGAAAGAAAAUAUUUUUUGGAUUUUUUAUUUAUUUUUUUGGAAUUUUUGGGAAAAAGACUCCUAAAAAAGGUACAAAAUAUUUGUUUGAAUUUUGAUUUGAUUUGUUUUCUUUUUUCAAAUUAAAGACUUCUACAAGAAAAUAUUUUUCAGUUUAAAACUUUUUUUCUUAUUAUUUUUUUUAUUUGUUUGGGAUUUUCUAGAAAAGACUCCUAAAGAAGGAAUUAAAGGAAAAUAUUUUUGGAUUUUUAAAAAUUGGGGCCGGAACCGAUGAGGUUUGCCUACGUAUCUCACAUCCGGUGAGAAUUAGACCCGCGUAGUUCGGUCAGUUUUGACGGAACAGGGAAAACAUGGCACUUGAGAUUUUUGGCUCAUUUUGAAAUGACCUUUUCCUUUCUUUUUUUCUUUCCUUUCUUUUUUAAAUUUCAGAAGAGUUUCAGGAUUUUCAAAUAUCUGGGUUUUUCAUAACCGGAUAAAUUUUCUCACUCCUACCUCACUUUACUUUUCUCCAUUUUCUGUAUUUAUUCUAGCAGUCAGUCAACAUGCAAAUCAGAUCAAACAAAAUGCACAAGUAGCACGUAGGAUGCAUUAGGAUGGUCUUUUAUUUUUGGGUACAUCAGUCCUAGACGGACCCAACACCUAUGUUGAAUCAUCCCAAGUCAAAUGCACGUGAUGCAAACAAACGUUCCUAAUAGGGAUCCGGCAUGAGGCUAUGUUAUUCUAUGUUUUAAAAUCCUGAGGGUGUGUUUUAGACAUGGCUUACCCAAGCGGACAGCUCGAGCCAAGGUGGGGGCAAUGUACCGGGAGCACGAUAGUCUACCCGGCCUAGUUGCUGAUCAAACCUUGUUCUAUUUGGUACGACCUCUAACAGAAAGGUAGGCGACGCGUACGUGUGUACUAUAAUUUUAGAAGACUCGGAAGGGAGGCGUAAGAAGACAAUUUAGUACAUUUCAAAAAAUAUCAAAGCGGUAAAUGAGCGGCACUUUGCGCGUUAUGCCAAAAAACACAGUGUCAACACUAAACAAAGCCAAAUACAUAUUACAUUACAAGCUCGAAUUCUGAACCCUGAACCAGAGAUUCUGGGUUCGUUCCCCAGCGGAGUCGCCAGAGCUGUCACACCUUUUUUUUCUUGAGAGAAUAGGGAGUUUUUCCAAUUAAAGUAAUAUUAUUCGAAAUGGGAUUAUUUAUUUAAUUUCAGAGUCGCCACUUGGGAUAAUUUACGGUGUCCCAAGUCACCGGUUUAUUUUAAAAAUCCCAAAUCGAAGAAAUUUGACUUUGUUUAAAGUCUGCGAAAAUCAGAAGACCGGGUAAGGAAUUCUGUUAACCCGGGAGAAGGUGUUAUGCAUUCCCGGAUUCCAUGAUUUUAGCACGAUUGCUUUAAUCAUACAUGUCUUAAUUAAAUUGUUUAAUUACGUAUUUUUAGAACUUAUGUGCAUUUUAUCUUUUACCGCUUUAAAUUAUGGUGCUAUGGAUUUAUCUUUGAAACGGAUUAUAUGUGUGUAAAUCCGUUUUAUUUGGGGCGUUAAAAUCGUGUCACGCGUACGUAUACACAAUUAAUCGCGCUUUAUUAACACUAAGAUUGUUCAGCCAAAGUUGCGCGAACGCGUACUUUGAUUUUAUUUUGGGAAUCAUAAUUAUGUAACGCGAACGUGUACACAAUCACGAUAAUAAAUUAAACGCACGCCUAAAGCAUACUAGGAAUAUUCAAAAGUUGUUUAAUGUUCCUACGGUUUAGGACUAAAUGAUCGUGGAAAGAAUUUACAUCCACGCUAUCCCAUUAACUCACUUAAGUUUCUUCAGAUGCUGGCUCCCUUUUCCUGCCUUUCUACUGUCAUGUUUUUUGGUGUAAUAAUUACAAAUUUGUAACUGCAACUACUCCUCUAAUUUUAGUCACAUAACCUUGAUCACGGCACAUACAAGUACUAACUUGUAUCCAGUAUAUGAAUUCAAAAACACUCGAGUUAGAAUUCUCAUGGUACCAUCUCAUUCAGAGCUAUAACAAGCUGUCGCUAAAGAACCAGAUAAAAGUGAAAUUUUCUAGAAGACCACCAAUAUAGUGCAAUAUAUACAAAAUCAAAUGUAUGGAUACAAAUCUUCACAUGCUAUGGAAUGCUGAAGAAAGAUGAGGUUAUAAAUGAACUUCUGGUGACAUACAACAUAUAGAAAAUGAAUAUCACCUCUGCAGUUUACCUUAAAAGUUCAAUCAAUGCAUGCCACUCAAGUGUAACUUAAUGUUCAAAAAAUAACAAUGAAAUAUAAAGAAAAAGAUAGAUGGGACAAGAAUAGACAGAGAACAUCUACAGAGUGCCAGUUCACAUCAUAAUUAAAAAAGCAGCAAUAUUCACAUAUCCUAGGGGAAAAAAAAAACAUUAGAACAACUUAAAGAUAUACUCAUCUAAAGAAACUAAUUUUAAGCUUCCAUUACACAUUUUCCAUAGAAGACACAGAUCAUGUUUAAUCGAAUCAUUAGAUAAGGAAAUCAGUAUCAGAAAUUACAGAGAGAAUUCACGGUUUCACAAUCCACUUAAAUUCAUUUUCAAGUAAUACAGCAAAUAGGACUGCAAAUAAGUGCAUAUCGCCAUUUUUAGCUCAAACAUUCAACAAAUCGGGCCGUGAAAAUAAUAUUUUUGCAUUCAAAGAGAAAUAUGAAUACAUGAGUAGUCAGAACUUACUUAUUGAAAGCAAGGGAACAGUACAAAGUACCAAAUAAAGGCCAUAAAUGAGUCGGAAUGGGCUUCAGCAGAGAAGAGCAACAGAAUCAGCAAACGAACAACAAAUUUACAACUCAAACAACCUUCGAAACCCGGAAACGAUCAAGCCAUGUAGCGGAGAUUUGAACAGCCUUUUAAUCUUCUUUUUUUCCGAUUUUUUAUCUCUUCUUUUGAAGUUUUCUAGAUCUUAAAUUUUGAUGUGCAGGCUUCUUCUCUCAGCAAUUCAGGCGUGUGUGUGAUUGAGUGUGUGUGCAUGAGGUGCGGACGAGAGAGUAGGUAUGAGGAGUGUAGGCAGAUUAGAGGGAAAUGGAGAAG